AAUCCACCUGGGGAGUACGUUCGCAAGAAUGAAACUCAAAGGAAUUGACGGGGGCCCGCACAAGCGGAGGAACAUGUGGUUUAAUUCGAUGAUACGCGAGGAACCUUACCUGGACUUAAAUGUAUAUUGACCGGUUUAGAAAUAGAUCUUUCCUUCGGGACAAUUUACAAGGUGCUGCAUGGUUGUCGUCAGCUCGUGCCGUGAGGUGUCGGGUUAAGUCCCAUAACGAGCGCAACCCCUAUCGUUAGUUGCUAGCAGGUAAUGCUGAGGACUCUAGCGAGACUGCCACCGUAAGGUGAGAGGAAGGUGGGGAUGACGUCAAAUCAGCACGGCCCUUACGUCCAGGGCUACACACGUGUUACAAUGGCCAGUACAAAGGGCAGCUACCAGGCGACUGGAUGCUAAUCUCAAAAGCUGGUCUCAGUUCGGAUCGGAGUCUGCAACUCGACUCCGUGAAGUUGGAUUCGCUAGUAAUCGUAGAUCAGCAACGCUACGGUGAAUACGUUCCCGGGCCUUGUACACACCGCCCGUCAAGCCAUGGAAGCCGAGGGGACCUGAAGUUCGUAACCGCAAGGAGCGACCUAGGGUAAAAUUGGUAACUAGGGCUAAGUCGUAACAAGGUAGCCG
rnacentral:rRNA from 1 species